rnacentral:tRNA from 1 species
GUUGUCGUGGCCGGGUGGUUAAGGCGAUGUACUAGAAAUCCAUUGGGCUCUGCCCGCACAGGUUCGAAUCCUUCCGACUACG